rnacentral:rRNA from 1 species
UACGUAGGUGGCAAGCGUUGUCCGGAUUUAUUGGGUUUAAAGGGUGCGUAGGCGGCCUUGUAAGUCAGUGGUGAAAAUACUCUAGCUUAACUAGAGGGGUGCCAAUGAUACUGCAGGGCUUGAGUACAGAUGAGGUAGGCGGAAUUGACGGUGUAGCGGUGAAAUGCAUAGAUAUCGUCAAGAACACCUAUAGCGAAGGCAGCUUACUGGGCUGUAACUGACGCUGAGGCACGAAAGCGUGGGGGAGCAAACAGG